GACGAACGCUGGCGGCGUGCUUAACACAUGCAAGUCGUACGAACCAGUCGGGCUUGCUCGGCUGGUUAGUGGCGAACGGGUGCGUAACACGUGAGCAAUCUGCCCAUCGGUGGGGGAUAGCCGGCCUAACGGCCGGGUAAUACCGCGUACAGCUGUCGGGUCUCAUGGCCUGACAGUGAAAGUGGCCGCAAGGUCACGCCGGUGGAGGAGCUCGCGUCCUAUCAGCUAGUUGGCGGGGUAACGGCCCACCAAGGCUACGACGGGUAGCUGAUCUGAGAGGAUGAUCAGCCACAUUGGGACUGAGAUACGGCCCAGACUCCUACGGGAGGCAGCAGUGGGGAAUAUUGCGCAAUGGCCGAAAGGCUGACGCAGCGACGCCGCGUGCGGGAUGACGGCCUUCGGGUUGUAAAGCCGCUGUCAGGAGGGACGAAUACUCGGCGGCGGAUAGCCGACCGGAGGGUGACGGUACCUCCAAAGGAAGCACCGGCUAACUCCGUGCCAGCAGCCGCGGUAAUACGGAGGGUGCGAGCGUUGUCCGGAAUUACUGGGCGUAAAGGGCGCGU
rnacentral:rRNA from 1 species